AAGCCAGAUGUCUCCUGGGCCGGUGUGCACCUGUGUAAAGAUCAUGCUGUUAAUUACCUUCUUGAUUUGCCACACCUGUCAGAUGGAUGGAUUAUUUCAGCAACAAAGAAAUACUCACUAAGAGGGAUGUACACAAAUUUGUGCAUAUGUGUGCUGGAGUCAAAGCAGAUCCCUACCAGCUGCAACUUGUUCCAUAAGAAAUACCUCUACAAAUACUCUGUCCUGCCACUUCCACUCUGCCAGACUGUAAUCUCUGCUCAUUACCGCUCUGUCUCUGGCUCCUGUUCCACAUCUCAUCACCCAACUACCUUGCUCUGGAUUUUACUCACCACUACCUUGGAUUCCCCUCAGGACCUGUUUACCCUGUUCUACUCAGCUAACUCCAACCUCAGUCUCCACAUCUGUUUUUUCUAAAAACUCAUCCGAACUUCCCCGAAACUGAACUCUAUAUCUCCCUGUGUAACAAUAAAUAUUUUGGUCCAUUUACCGCUUAACAAUCCACUGCACGGG